rnacentral:rRNA from 1 species
UACAGAGGUCUCAAGCGUUGUUCGGAAUCACUGGGCGUAAAGGGUGCGUAGGCGGCGCGGAAAGUCAGAUGUGAAAUCCGGAGGCUCAACCUCCGAAUUGCAUCCGAAACUUCCGUGCUUGAGAUUUGUAGAGGAGUCUGGAACUCUCGGUGUAGCAGUGAAAUGCGUAGAUAUCUGGAGGAACACCGGUGGCGAAGGCGACAUCCUGGACCGGCAUUGACGCUGAGGCGCGAAAGCCAGGGGAGCAAACGGG